rnacentral:lncRNA from 1 species
CUACUCUACUGGACUGACUGACUGACAGAACUACUCUACUGCUGACUGACAGUACUACUCUACUAGACUGACUGACCUGACUGACAGUACUACUCUACUAGACUGACUGAAAGAACUACUCUACUAGACUGACUGACAGAACUACUCUACUGGACUGACAGUACUACUCUACUAGACAGACUGACAGAACUACUCUACUAGACUGACUGACAGAACUACUCUACUGACUGACUGACAGAACUACUCUACUGGACUGACAGUACUACUCUACUAGACAGACUGACAGUACUACUCUACUGACUGGCUGACAGUACUACUCUACUAGGCAGGCUCGACGUACUACUCUACUAGACUGACAGCAUCUGGAGACAGUGAGAGGCAGAGGACCAGAUUGUCACCCCUACACAUGUUUUAGUUGUGUAUGACUAGAUGAGAUAUAAUAGGUUUGUAUUGUGGGGUUAUGUGUGGGAGUUUGUAAAUUGCGUGUCACCUGGUUCUGCGUGUCACCUGGUUGUGUUGCAGGCGCGUAACCUGACCUACAUGGUGACGCGGAGGGAGAAGAUAAAGAGGACUCUGUGGAGGAUCCAGGAACAGAUCUUCACUCAUCAGGCCGAGCUGCUGGACCAUGAGAUCAUGAACGGUACGUCACGGGUAGGAUUAGGCUGGUUGUCACAGGUAGGAAUUAGGCUGGUUGUCACGGGUAGGAUUAGGCUGGUUGUCGCGGGUAGGAUUAGGCUGGUUGUCGCGGGUAGGAUUAGGCUGGUUGUCGCGGGUAGGAUUAGGCUGGUACGGUCGUGGUUAGGAUUAGGCUGGUACGUCCGUGGUUAGGAUUAGGCUUACGUCAUGGUUAGGAUUGAGGCUGGUACUUCGCGGCUAGGAUUAGGCUGGUACUUCGCGGCUAGGAUUAGGCUGGUACUUCGCGGCUAGGAUUAAGGCUAGGAUUAGGCUGGUACUUCGGCUAGGAUUAAGGCUAGGAUUAGACUGGUACUUCGCGGCUAGGAUUAGGCUGGUACUUGCGGCUAGGGCUAGGAUUAGGCUGGUACUUCGCGGCUAGGAUUAAGGCUAGGAUUAGGCUGGUACUUCGCGGCUAGGAUUAGGCUGGUUACUUCGCGGCUAGGAUUAGGCUGGUACUUCGCGGCUAGGAUUAGGCUGGUACUUCGCGGCUAGGAUUAGGCUUAGGAUAGCUGGACUUACUCGGCUAGGAUUAGGCUGG